rnacentral:rRNA from 1 species
UGCCCUACGGGGCGCAGCAGUCGGGAAUAUUGCGCAAUGGAGGAAACUCUGACGCAGUGACGCCGCGUACAGGACGAAGGUCUUCGGAUUGUAAACUAUUGUCGUUAGGGAAGAGAAAGGACAGUACCUAAGGAGGAAGCUCCGGCUAUCUACGUGCCAGCAGCCGCGGUAAUACGUAGGGAGCAAGCGUUAUCCGGAUUUAUUGGGUGUAAAGGGUGCGUAUACGGGAAAUUAAGUUAGUUGUGAGAUCCCUCGGCUC